CUAGAUUGGAGACCCUCUGUGCCCAAGGAAACUGGUCAAAAUGUGGUGUUGAGACUCACCCUCUAACAACGGCAGGUCUAAUAAGUUCAAAGACUCCCUCUUGCUACAGUCUGUGAGGAGGAAGAGUCGGGAAGUCAGUGAGUGCCUGAAGGACUGCAUCGACACUGCAGGCUGGGGCGUGCUCUAGGAUCCACGUGAGGAUGACAUAGACUGCAUCAUAGACUGCAUCAUAGACUGCAUCACUGAGAUCACUGAUUAUGUAAAUAUGUGAACCAUAAUUCCAACAGCAAGCCCUGGAUCACCACUGACCUGAAUACUAAAUGAAAGGGGGGGUCGUCAACUGCUCAUAAUUACAUACAUAAUUUCAUUAGGGAUUCAUAAAGUAUUCUGAUACUUAUAACCUCCCCAAUCCCAUCCUUCUGUCUAAACCCCCUGCCUGUACACGUUUGUGACCACUGGUCAUUUCAGGAGAUAGCGGAAGCUACUAGCUGAUGCAGUGUGUUAUCGCUGUCACCUGGAUGAUAUUUUGGUGGUAUUGUGAGAAAGCAAUCAAAACUGAACAAAGUUCUCUCCAUCAUGGCGAAUCCUUCUCUCCCACUUCAUCCCUCACUACUGAGGCAACAGAGCUCAUUCUCCCUCAGACAGGUGAAUACACUGAUAAUAUUCCAUUGUGUAGUUUUCUAUCCAGGUGUGCUUUUAAUGCACUGGGAGUCCAUCUGGGAAGCCAUUGUCUGUCAGGUUCUUUCCAGAUGUAAUUUCAUGGUGGAUCUAAAUCUGAUGGUGCUUUUCUUUGUUCAUAACUCCAUUAAUUUUGACAUGAUCGCCAACACGACUGACUCAUAUGCAGCUCCAAAACAUGACAGUGCCUCCACUGUGUUUUACAGAUGCCAGAAAAUCCACAUUUGAUUUCUGCUCUCCACAAGACCAAAACAUCCAACUGGAAUUCAAUAUCAAGGAUGACAGAUGGGGUUUACACACCUGAAUGUAUAUACUGAGGGAGAGGAACGUACUGAUUUUAUGCAUGUUUAUUUACUUUUGAAGAAAAAUGGUAACAAAAAGUAUUUCAGCAGUGUAACAUGUUAUAAAAGCAAUUACAAAACAAAGUUUAAUUUUAAGCAAACAAUAAAAAACACAAGAUAUAAAGCAAGCACACUGAACGAUUUAUAAUUAGUCAAUUUAGAAUACAGAUCAAACAACACACUUUAGUGAUUGAAUGCUUAAAAAAAAGCUGCCACACAAAAACCUAAAUAAAUUGAAAAGUACAACCAUCUGGGACACAGGUGUAUGAUAUAUGAUUUGAUAUGAUGUAUAGCUUUCCAAAAGCAGGGAACUCUGACUGUGUAAUGCUUUAACAAAGUAAUUCUCCAGCUUUCUCUGAAAUGUCCCCAGUUAUUCCCUACAGUAGUCCGUGCACCACCAGCUCCACAGUUUGAGAAGACUGUUUUAAUGUGUAGAGUAAAGACAUGUUGUCAAAUGGAAAGCAUUUUUGCUGGCUCUCACAAAUACCCCCUGUGUGCAUGUGUAAAUGAGAGAAAAGACAAGGCACAGUUUAUUCAUUAAUGCUGACUCUUUUCAAUAAACAAGUUUAGAGAUUUAAAGUUUAGAGUUAAAAAACAUGUACUAGUGUAACUA